UCCAUGCUGCGGCGGUCGUAGGUGACGCCGGUGGCCACCGUGACGGGGUCCUCCAUUAGCUCCAUCGAGAUGGGGCACUGGAACAGGGGAGGAGGCUCCAUGGCCGUCGUCCUGGUCGCCCGGCGGCCGCCGCCCUCCUCCUCCCACCACCGCGCUCGCCUCCGGCCCCGUGCCGUUCCUCGUCGUCGACAGCCUCUCCCGCAACCACGACGGCGCGCCGCGGCGGCAUCGGGGCAGACGGGGCAGCUGGGCCUCCCCAUGAUCCCGCCGCCGCCGCCGCCGCCGGCUGCCGCACCUCCUCUCCUGCCUCGCCCCGCCGGCCCGCCGGCCUCCUCCCCACCUGCCGCCGCCCUGCCUCGAGUGAGAGAGAGGAGGGCAGGAGGCGAGAAAACAGGGGAAGGAGAGAGGUGAUGGCGUGGACAGUCCGACAGGUGGGCCCCACGUGGGUCCCACGCUGACUCAGCCGCCACAUCAGAGAAAACUGGGUUCAAAACCAUUAAAGGACAUAAAAUAAACGGUUUUGUAAGUUGAGGGAUGUCGUAUAUCUGGUUUUACGGUUGGAGGACGAUUUUGUAUUUCGAUGACAAGUUGAGGGACCUUUGGUGUACUUUUUCCGAGGGUUUUUCAUGAUUGGUUUUAGUGGAUUUUAUCAUUCUUUGGGCUCCUUGCAAUGAAAGAAAAAUCAAGGAAUUUUAAAAGAUUUGAAUCAUACAAUGAAAUUUUCUAUGAGACUCUUUUGGGAUAAAAUAUUGGGUCUCUAAAAUUUAUACUCCUUAUAAAAGGGAGUAAUGGCCCACCACCAACUUUCAACUUUCUUUAAGAGAAAAAGGGACAUAGUCUCACUUGUUAACUACUCAUACCAACUCUCUAUUUUUUCUGGGAAUGAAAAAUGAAAGUUUUACAGAGCUCGCCAACCUUUAUCGCCGCUACUGCCUCCCACGACAGGCUCACUAGGUAUGCCGCCCACCUCGAGCCCACUCGUCACUUUUAUCGCCGCUACUGCCUCCCACGACAGGCUCACUAGGUAUGCCGCCCACCUCGAGCCCACUCGUCACUGACCUCCCACUGCCAUUGCUGUCUCUCACAGAUGGGCCUGCCGAUCGUCAACCUUCUCCCUGCUGGCAAGUUGUUGGGGAAGAGAAGAGAGGUGAAAGUUUACUUACAUGUGGCAUCCAUAAUUUUUUUUCUGAUUAGAAUGCCAUGUCAGUUAAAACAAACAUCCAUACUGUUUUAGAAGUAACUUGAACAGUUUUUGUUAAGAGGAGGGGUGAAAAAUUCCGGUUAUAUGGUUAGGGAUAUCACAUAAACUCGUCGUAAAGAUAAAGGACAGAAAGUGGACUUAUUCCACCUCUGUGCACUGACCGUUGAAGGUUUGAAGAAGCCCAAGAGAGCCCAAAGCAAGGCCCGUUUCUUCUUCUGCGGCGCCCGGCGCUCGGCGCUCGGAUCAAUCCCGCCGACGAGCGCCUCCGGCCGCCGCCUCCCUUCCCCCGCCGCGGGAAGCUCAUGGCCCUUCCAGCGCAGCCGCUCCCGUGUCCUGAACGACCAACCGCCGCCGCCGCCCGGCCAUCGCGUCAUCUUCAUCCACCCUCGAGGCGACCUCCCCGGAGAACUUGAAGCAUGGUGGCAUUACACAAGGAUGGUGGGAUUGUUCCAUGAAAUUGAUUGAUGUCUACAACAAACCUUUGUAGAUUCGGAAGCUUAUUGCCAAUAUCAGGUGGAAGAGCCCCGCUGAGGCGAUUGCUUUGUAAACCAAGAUCAUCAAGGGAGGAAAGGUUGAGCAGUGAAGGAGGAAACGAACCUUCUAGUUUAUUAUAAUCCAGACGAAGGCUACUCAAGGCACCAAGGUUUCCAAGAGAAUCUGGGAUGUGUCCUGAGAGCCGAUUUUGCUGGAGACUAACAAACACUAGAGAUGAGAGGUUCCCCAACCAUGCAGGCACAGUUCCUUCGAGAUUGUUCUCUCCCAAUUCAAGGACAAGAAGUGAUGAAAGGUUUUGCAG